AAACAUGAGAGUUUGAUCCUGGCUCAGAGCGAACGCUGGCGGCGUGCCUAACACAUGCAAGCCGAACGUGACAGGGGGCAACCCUGAGUAAAGUGGCGUACGGGUGAGUAACGCGUAGGUAUUCUACCCCAGAGUCUGGAAUAACCUGCCGAAAGGCGGGCUAAUACUGGAUAGAGCGACGGAAUCCGUAAUUGGGUUUUUCGGGAAAGGGAGGACGUAAGUCCCUUCGCUUUGGGAUGAGCCUGCGUCUCAUUAGCUAGUUGGUGGGGUAAUGGCCCACCAAGGCAUUGAUGAGUAGCUGGUCUGAGAGGAUGAUCAGCCACACUGGAACUGAAACACGGUCCAGACUCCUACGGGAGGCAGCAGUGGGGAAUUUUGCGCAAUCGGGGAAACCCUGACGGACAAACGCCGCGUGGAGGAAGAAGUACAUCGGUACCUAAACACCUUUCGAUCGGGACGAUAAU
rnacentral:rRNA from 1 species